AGGCUGGUGUAAUGGCAACAUUAUUGACUCCAAAUCAAUAGAUUAAAGUUCAACUCUUUAGCCUCUUGCCA
rnacentral:tRNA from 1 species